CCUACGGGAGGCAGCAGUGGGGGAUAUUGCACAAUGGAGGAAACCCUGAUGCAGCGACGCCGCGUGUGGGAAGACGGUCCUCUGGAUUGUAAACCACUGUCCCCAGGGACGAAAAUGACGGUACCUGGGGAGGAAGCUCCGGCUAACUACGUGCCAGCAGCCGCGGUAAUACGUAGGGAGCGAGCGUUGUCCGGAAUUACUGGGUGUAAAGGGAGCGUAGGCGGGGAUGCAAGUUGGGUGUCAAAACUACCGGCUCAACUGGUAGUCGCACUCAAAACUGCAGCUCUUGAGUGAAGUAGAGGCAGGCGGAAUUCCUAGUGUAGCGGUGAAAUGCGUAGAUAUACGGAGGAACACCAGUGGCGAAGGCGGCCUGCUGGACAUUAACUGACGCUGAGGCGCGAAAGCGUGGGGAGCAAACAGGAUUAGAUACCCGAGUAGUC
rnacentral:rRNA from 1 species